GCUGGGUUCAGAACGUCGUGAGACAGUUCGGUCCCUAUCCGUCGCAGGCGUAGGAAAUUUGAGAAGACCUGUCCUUAGUACGAGAGGACCGGGAUGGACGUACCUCUGGUGUACCAGUUGUCCUGCCAAGGGCAUGGCUGGGUAGCUAUGUACGGAAUGGAUAAGCGCUGAAAGCAUCUAAGCGCGAAGCCAACUUCAAGAUAAGAUUUCCCACCGUAAGGGUAAGACCCCAGAAAGACUAUCUGGUUGAUAGGUCGAAGGUGUAAGUGCAGCAAUGUAUUUAGCUUAUCGAUACUAAUAGGUCGAGGACUUGACCAAU
rnacentral:rRNA from 1 species